ensembl:lncRNA
UGUCCCUUGUGUGAGGAAUUAACACGCAUGCGCAAAGACUACAACGCAUGGUUUAAAUAGGCGGCUUCCCUUCUCCGAUCUCUCUUUUCUCAGUCGAACUCUGGCAUGCUGUGCACGUGUUCCUUUGGUCCAGCCAUGUUUAACCCGGGUGCAAGUGGAUGGAAAGUUCUAGAACAACGAAGUGGCUACAAGAUCACGGGUGUACCCAGUCCCCAAAGAGGCCUGCUUGAAGACAUGGCAGUUGCACAUCUCUGUGUUUCUGUGUGCUGAGAAUUCAUGGCUACCUCAGCUGAGAUUUGAUGCAGUCAUGUGGAUGGCUUAUUUGUGAUAAUGGUCUACUGACGAGAAUCGAAGACACCAGUGGCAUGUCGAGCCCAGUAUGUGCGGAUACAGUCACCUGGAGGGCUUAUUUGUUAUAAUGGUCUACUGAUAGACUUGAAGACCACCAGUGGCAUGUCGCACCCAGUAUGUGCAGAUACAGUCACCUGGAGGGCUUAUUUGUGAUAAUGGUCUACUGACGAGAAUCGUACGACAUAGUUGACUCCACCAGGCUGUCUGUAGGAUGCGGCCAUGUCAGUCCCCAGGGGACCUUGAGUCUGGACACCAGUGAAUUGAUGUGGUGGCCACGCCUCCUGUACUGUGACUUCAUCUGAUAUUUGCAAGACUUUGCACAAGUCAAUUUAUAAGACUUGUACUUUCAUAUAUAUUUUUUUUGUGAAUUGCAUGUCAUGCUUUAGAAAAAGCAGUGGAAUAAAACUU